GCUUGUCUCAAAGAUUAAGCCAUGCAUGUCUAAGUGUAAAUAAGUCUAUACUGUGAAACUGCGAAUGGCUCAUUAAAUCAGUUAUCGUUUAUUUGAUGAUCUCUUACUACUUGGAUAACCGUAGUAAUUCUAGAGCUAAUACAUGCGUAAAAUCCCGACUCACGAAGGGAUGUAUUUAUUAGAUAAAAAACCGAUGCCUUCGGGCUUUGUGUUGACUCAUAGUAACUGUUCGAAUCUCACGCGCAAGCAGGAGAUAGUUCAUUCAAAUUUCUGCCCUAUCAGCUUUCGACGGUAGUGUAGUGGACUACCGUGGCCGUAACGGGUGACGGAGAAUUAGGGUUCGAUUCCGGAGAGGGAGCCUGAGAAACGGCUACCACAUCCAAGGAAGGCAGCAGG
rnacentral:rRNA from 1 species